CGGGGACGGAGGACAGGGUGACGGGGAUGGUGUCCACGCUGCUCAGGGUCCCAGACCCACUGGAGGACUGGCUGGCAGAGGUCGGCCCGCUGGAAGAACUGGAACCGGGCUGGGACUUGGACUGGACCUGGGAUGGGGACUGGGUGGACUGGGCCUGGGACUCGGUGGACUGGGCCUGGGGGUGCCCCCCCUCAGGUGGAAUCUCUUCAGACAUUGUCCAGCUCUGCAGAUUGGACACAUGAGGUCACACUGGCCACAGUGGUCAGUGGUCACACUGCUCAGUUAACAGCUUCUGACCAAACAUCAUUUAAACUAUUUUACCAUCUCCUCACAAACCUGAAGGAGGAACCAGGAGGUGAGUUCUUCAGUUUCUUUAUAAUUCGGAACAAACUUGAGCUGAAAUAACGUAUUUAGUGAAUGACGUCAUCCAACCACAAACUGUCUUCGGUCACAUCCGGUACACUGAACACACGUGCCCCCGUUAAAUUUGAUCAUUUUUGAAUUUGUUUGUUUUUGGUUUUCACACACACACCGAUGCAGCUGAAGACUGAUCCGGGACCAGAACCAGUUCUCCAGCCCCGCCCACCAGCUGUCAAUCACAGCCGGAUGAGGAGACCCAUAUAAGACCUGGAUAAGAACCAGAGCAGACGAACCCGGUUUGACAUCCGGCUCCAGACCCGCCGAGCUGCUUUAAAUCCCCGCCAAGACGAGCCGGGCUAACCCGGGCUCAUGCACUAACCCACUCACCGGAGGAGAUCCGCAGGGAACCGGGACCGCAGCUCUGAAACGGGACACGUGGAGAAGAAACUCGUAUCUUUUUUUUCUUCUACCGUCUUCUGCCUCCUGCGUCACGUGAUCGUCUCAGCCAAUAAGAAGUCAGAAGGUCGGUCACGUGAGUUUCGGAGCUGUCGCAUGUGUGUGCUUCCGGGUUCUGUUUUUAGUCCCGCAGGAGGAGAGACACGGCGGGAAAGACGUGACGAUCGAUGACCACUGAUCUCACGUCGUCAUCACGUGGUCUGACCUCCUCAGCAGACGAGCAGCUGGACUCUGAGGACCUGAACCUGGACCUGGACCUGAACCCGUUCUCCUUCAGAGAGUUCCUACGCUGGAAGAACCAGGACCAGGACCCAGAACAAGACCUGGACCAGGAGCAGACUGGCAGCAAGAGGUCGCUGGACGUUGAAGUCCGGACUUGUUUCUUCUCUGAACCGUCUCUGGCUCCACAGGAAGAGGAGGAGGCGGGGUGUGGGCGGAGCUUCCAGUCAGGCGUAGACAGCACGUCGUCCCUCUGCACGGAGGAGGAGGAGGAGGAGACCAGUUUCUCCUCCAGACCUGAAGUCCAGCAGGGAGCAGGAGCAGCAGGAGGAGAGAACUAUGAAGGAGACGAUGAGACCUCUAUUGCUGAAGCAGUCACCUCCUGCAGGAGGAGCAGCAGCAGGAGCAGCCAGGUCCAGAUCCAGCAGUUGAAGGAGGAGAACAUGUCCUUGAGGAGGUCCAUCAUGGAGCUGCAGAAGAGAUCAGAUGCUAACAAGCACAGGGUGGGGGAGCUGUCGGAGGAGCUGGUCCAGAGGAGGCGUCAGGAGGAGAAGGAGGCUCAGGAUCUGGAGAGCAUGGUUCACUCUGUGGAGCAGAACCUCCAACUGAUGACCAAGCGAGCAGUGAGAGCAGAGGGCUGUGUUUGCAGACUGAAGGUGGAUCUUCAGCAGCUUCAGGUGGAGGUCGACGCUCUUCAGUCGGAGAACAUCAGUCUUAAGGCAGCAGAGUCGGAAAUUGUCAUGACGAUGAGACACAACGCUCAGGUUGCGUCCGAGUACCUGAACAAGACGGCAAGCCACGCCCACUCCUCCAUCCGUCAACUGCUGGGGGAAGCAGAAAAUCUCUGUCUGGUCUCUCAACUGCUGCAGUCCAUCGACAAGAUCUCCAACCUUGACUCAGAGUCCUGAACUCCUCCAGACCACCAGAUCUCCUUUGAACCUCCUCCAGACCCUCAGACCCCCUUUGGACCUCCUCUAGAUGCUCGUGUAGGACCUGUUUUUCAUAGCAGCAGCUGAUGUCCCAGGGUGCACCUGGUUGUGGUGAUGGAUGCUGUUGUUGGCGUAGUAAAACUGGAUGAUGGGUCAUCGUUACUGUUGGUGAGGGACAGGUACGGGAUACCAGACCAGGUCUUGACACAUGCACGCACGCAAUGGACAGCUUUUAUUGUGAAGAUUUGUGAUGACGUCAUUGUCUGUAAAGUGUUGUGUGUAUCAGUGGCGGGCCGUGCAUGUUAUAGCUGGGCCUUCACUGCUGUCCUGCAGCUGAAACACAGCUACGG